rnacentral:rRNA from 1 species
GACGAACGCUGGCGGCGUGCUUAACACAUGCCAGUCGAACGGAAAGGCCCUGCUUUUGUGGGGUGCUCGAGUGGCGAACGGGUGAGUAACACGUGAGUAACCUGCCCUUGACUUUGUGAUAACUUCAGGAAACUGGGGCUAAUACCGGAUAGGAUCUCCUGCUGCAUGGUGGGGGUUGGAAAGUUUCGGCGGUUGGGGAUGGACUCGCGGCUUAUCAGCUUGUUUGUGGGGUAGUGGCUUACCAAGGCUUUGACGGGUAGCCGGCCUGAGAGGGUGACCGGACACAUGGGGACUGAGAUACGGCACAGACUCCAACGGGAGGCAGCAGUGGGGAAUAUUGCACAAUGGGCGGAAGCCUGAUGCAGCAACGCAGCGAGCGGGAUGACGGCCUUCGGGUUGUAAACCGCUUUCGCAUGUGACGAAGCGUGAGUGACGGUAAUGGGUAAAGAAGCACCGGCUAACUACGUG